UCAAUACUGAUACAGAAGCUCCUUUCAUUAGCUCUGAGUAUAGGUGCCAAUGCGUUGGGAUUGUUAAUUAGAAACUGGGUUGAUGUCUCUUCCUUCAGACCAAUCCUUGCUGAAAAGAUUCUACAUUGUUAAAGAACAUUUACAUCACACGACAUGUAGUUCUAUUGCCAUGUUGCCUGGGCAGAGCCUUUGGUAAUGGUACUGCUUAAGUUCAAAGCCUGGAGCUAAGUGGAUGCCUAAAGUGGCCAGAUGUUAUGAUGGUCGGCCGUCAAAUCUCCUCUAAUGCUCAGGUGCUUUCCAAUCCCAUAUUCCUCUCGCCUCCACUCUCACCUCCGCCCGCAAAAAUCCCUACACUGGAAGCCCCGCCACGAAUCCAAGCUUACCCGCCCCGAACUCCUCGACCGUAUCUCCCGCCUUCUCAUCCUUGGCCGCCACCAUGCCCUCAAAAACCUUAAUUUCGAUUUUUCCGAUAAUCUUCUCGAUUCUGUUCUCCUCAAACUCAAACUGCAUCCUACUUCCUGCUUGAAUUUCUUCAAAUUGGCCUCGAAGCAACCCAAUUUUAGACCGAGUGUAAAGUCCUACUGUAAGCUUGUUCACAUUCUGUCUCGUGUUCGAAUGUACAAUGAGACCAGAUCCUAUUUAAAUGAAUUGAUUGGUCUUUGCAAGAAUAACUACUCUUCGUUUAUUGUUUGGGAUGAGCUUGUUAGAGCGUAUAAGGAGUUUGCUUUUUCGCCUACUGUUUUUGAUAUGUUAUUGAAAGCAUAUGCUGAAAAGGGAAUGACAAAAUAUGCACUCCAUGUGUUUGAUAAUAUGGGAAAGUGCGGUUUCGUACCGAGCUUGCGAUCUUGUAAUAGUUUGUUGAGUAGUUUGGUUCGAAAAGGUCAAAGUUACACCGCAGUGCUUGUUUAUGACCAAGUGGACAGGUUAGGGAUCGUGCCUGAUGUUUUUACUUGUUCUAUUAUGGUUAACGCAUAUUGCAAGGAGGGGAGGGUCGGUAGAGCUAUGGAGUUUGUUAAGGAAAUGGAGAAUUUAGGUUAUGAAUUGAAUGUGGUGACUUAUAAUAGCUUGAUUGAUGGGUGUGUUAGUCUGGGAGAUAUGGAACAAGCCAAAAAGGUUUUGAUUUUGAUGGGUGAAAGAGGGAUUCUGAGAAACAAGGUCACGUUUACCUUAUUGAUUAAAGGUUAUUGUAGACAACGGAAGUUUGAGGAAGCGGAGAAGGUGCUUCGGGAGAUGGAGAAAGAGGAAGGUGUGGUCUUGGAUGAAUAUGCUUAUGGUGUGUUGAUAGAUGGAUACUGUCGAGUUAGCAAAAUGGAUGAUGCUAUUAGGGUACGAGAUGAGCUGUUAAAUGUAGGAUUGAAGAUGAAUUUAUUUAUUUGCAACUCAUUGAUCAAUGGUUAUUGUAAAAAUGGUCGAGUUUGUGAAGCAGAGAGGUUGUUAACAGCUAUGGGGAACUGGGACUUAAAACCAGAUUCUUAUAGUUAUAGUACCCUUGUGGAUGGAUACUGUAGAGAAGGUCUUACAAGUAAGGCUUUUAAUGUUUGCAAUUUAAUGCUUCAGGUUGGAAUUGAACCUAAUGUUGUUACUUAUAAUACUCUCAUCAAGGGCUUAUGCCGUGUGAGUGCCUUUGAGGAUGCUUUGAACCUUUGGCAUUUGAUGCUAAAGCGAGGUGUGUCUCUUAAUGAGGUCAGCUAUUGUACUUUGCUUGAUGGACUCUUCAAAAUGGGAGAUUUUCCAAGGGCUUUGUCCCUGUGGAAUGAUAUCCUAGCAAGGGGUUUUGGAAGAAGUACAUAUGCUUUCAAUACUGUGAUUAAUGGUUUGUGUAAGAUGAAGAAAAUGGCUGAAGCAGAGGAGAUUUUUAGUAGGAUGAAGGACUUGGGUUGUAAAGCUGAUGCAAUAACGUAUAGAACUCUGAGUGAUGGGUACUGUAGACUUGGAAAAGUUGAAGAAGCUUUUAAAGUUAAAGAGAUAAUGGAAAAAGAAGCGAUUUCUCUUUCCAUUGAAUUGUAUAAUUCUCUUAUUUAUGGACUUUUUAAGUCCAGGAAAACAAGUGAAGUUAUGGUCCUUCUUUCUGAGAUGUGCAUUAAGGGAUUAUCUCCUAAUGUUGUCACUUAUGGAACCCUCAUUGCUGGGUGGUGUGAUGAAGACAGGUUGGAUAAGGCUUUUAGUGCAUAUUUUGAUAUGAUUGAAAAGGGGUUUGCUCCUAAUGUAAUUAUUUGCAGCAAAAUUGUCAGUAGCCUCUAUCGACUUGGAAGAAUAGAUGAAGCAAAUAUGUUAUUGCAGAAGAUGGUGGAUUUUGAUGUUUUUCUAGACCAUGGAAGUUUUGACAGGUUCCAGAAGGCAGAUGGUAGAUAUGUGGACAGUCAGAAAAUUGCAGAUACUCUUGAUGAAAGUGCUAAAAGUUUUUCUCUACCCAACAGGGUGGUGUACAACAUAGCUCUUGCAGGGCUUUGCAAGUCUGGGAAAAUUGAUGACGCAAGAAAUCUUUUCUCAGGCUUGUUGCUGAGAGGCUUCAAUCCAGACAAUUUCACAUACUGCACUCUGAUUCAUGGCCUUUCAGCAUCUGGUAAUGUGAAUGAAGCUUUCUUCUUAAGGGAUGAGAUGAUGAAAAGGGGUCUUGUUCCAAACAUAGUUACGUACAAUGCUCUAAUGAAUGGCCUGUGUAAAUCAGGUAAUCUGGAUCGAGCAUGGAGGCUUUUCAAUAAACUUCACUCCAAGGGAUUAAAUGCAAAUGUUAUCACUUAUAAUAUACUGAUUGAUGCAUAUUGUAAAAAUGGUAACACUAGAGAAGCCUUGGAUUUGAGAAACAAGAUGUUAAAAGAAGGGAUUUCUCCUUCCAUAGUUACGUGUUCUGCCUUGAUUUAUGGUUUUUGCAAGCAAGGAGAUGUGGAAAAAUCUAUUAAGCUUUUAGAUGAGAUGACAGAGGUCUUUGUGGAUCAAAAUCUGGCAACGUUUCUCAAGUUAGUUGAGGGUUAUAUUAAACAAGGAGAUGUAAAGAAGAUAUCCAAGCUUCACAAUAUGAUGCAAGUGACUUAUCACUCUGCCAGUGUUAUUUCUCAUAAACAAAUGGAGUUAGACGUGUUCUCAAAUGCUAAAAAAAUACUGGACCUGGAUUCAUGUAUUAUGUCUCAAGCUGUGAGUUGUUGAAUGCUCGGCGAACUAGGAAUUUGUUACAAAUUUUGUUCAGUUUAUAACCACUGUGCCUUAUCCCAAACAAGUUGGGGUCAGCUACAUAGAUUCUUUGUUGCCAUAUGGCUUUGUUAGACACUAUCUCUAUUGAGUUUGCUCUUAAGUUAUUUUGAUUACAGCCAUCUCCUUGAGAAGGCCAGGAUAAUCAGUCUGUUUCAUCUUGGCUUUUAGUGCUACAAUUCUCUCAUCUCUGCAUGUACUGGUGUGAUUGCUUUGGAGGGCUUACUGACUUACAACUGUGCGGCGAUCCCAAACAACGUGUUGGCUAUAUGGAUUCUUUGUUGUACAGUUGUCUCGUCUCUGCAUGUACAGGUUAAGAAGACAUAUUAUGGAUGGCAGUAGGUUGAAUGUGAAAAGGCCAAUCCAUAGCAUAGUGUUUCUUGUGGAAAUAGCUCACCAUGCCCGAUUUGUAAUUGAAGGCUAAAGGCAGGAGACAGAUUUUCUCUUCUGGACCCAACUGUUUUUGAAGGCUGCCUUUUAAAACGAGAAUUGGAGCAUGGCAGAAGUUAAAUUUUUUUGUCGAAGUCCAAUCACUAUGCAUUUCUGUGUAGGAGCUUGUUUGGCACUACAAUAAAUUCACCUACAGCAUAUCACCAUAUACUCGAUCAACAUGAUGCCAAUAUUUGGGACUUGGACUGCUUUUUUAAGGUCCACGCCUGGAGAUAAAAGAUGUUGCUUCACCACCAUCCACAUGAUAUCCUGGAAAGCCAGCCCAUAUCCCUAGGAUAUGCAUUGAAAUAUUAUACUUGCCCGCUGGCCAGGUACCUCUUCCCAGAAAUCUUAAUUCUAAUUUUUUAAAAUUAUUUUUUUUAAUUCUUUUAUGAAAAAGUUAAAGAGAAACUAUAUAUCAAGCAUGAAAAUGUUGACACAAAUGUAUUGUUGAGUGUUACUUUCAAAAAUUUUGGUGCUUCAAGAUUUUCUUACUAAAUUUUGAACUUGAAGAAUCGCUUGUUGAAUGGAGAACAUUGCCACUUGUGUGAAAUAUUAAUGCAUUUAUCACCGGAUUAUUAUGCAUUCUGCACGUUAAGUCCCUGAGAUGAUAAAUGUGAUGGACAGAAGCUAGAAAGGCUAACCUAUUGAGCAUGAUAGCUGAUGCACAAUGGCUGUCAUGAGGUAUUGUAAUUUGUUUUUUUAUUAAGCCAAAAAAAUAUGUCGUAGUUUAUUUCAUUCGCUGAAUUAAGUAGUUAAUCAUCUGAUGAACCCAAUAAUAAAUUGGAAAGAUAAGACGUUGAUAAGAAAUGUGAACUUGAUGUGCACAUAGUUAUCUAGUUUUUGUUUUUGAGUUUGAAGGUACACGGAAGCUAUAACUCCAUUGUUUGGAAUUUUUGAAGAUUCCAUUGUUUGUCAUCAAGACUCGGUCAUGAUGGUUGUUAUCAUUAUAUUUUAAAUACAUCAUGUAGUUUAUAC